UUCCUGAACUGAACAAUUCACAAGUACUAAAUUGCAUGCUAUUCUGAGUAGUGUGAUGAAACCUUGCACCGUCUUGCUCUGUCCUGCUGGGUAGAUGAAGAAGGUUAUCUAAAGAAAAAUCACAAAGAGUCAAUGACUUCAGCCCUUGGGGCAGGAGGAGAAGAUGCAGUUACAGGAAUCACUCAGCCCUGGACAUUCGGAAACUUUCUUGUGCACUGGGAAGGACUCUGGUGCAAUUUUCAGGUUUUCUUUCUGACUCUUGUAUUUUCUGCCUUCAGGAUUUCUGUAUUCACACGCCAGCUUCUUCAAAACUGUAAUGUACAAAAGACUAACUGCUAACUGAUGAUGUUUAGACAAAGGUUGCCUUGAUCGAAUACAUUUGAGACACUCAUUCUCAAUCUUUUUCAGGGAUUUGAGUCCUCAGAAAUAAUGCAGAUAAAAAUUUACCAACUGUCAUGGGGCUGCCCUCGUGGCCGAGUGGUUGAGUUCGCGUGCUCCGCUGCAGGUGGCCCAGUGUUUUGUUGGUUCGAAUCCUGGGCGCGGACAUGGCACUGCUCAUCAGGCCACGCUGAGGCAGCAUCCCACAUGCCACAGCUGGAGGGACCCACAGCGAAGAAUAUACAACUAUGUACCAGGGGCCUUGGG
rnacentral:lncRNA from 1 species